AGCGAACGCUGGCGGCAGGCUUAACACAUGCAAGUCGAGCGGGCGUAGCAAUACGUCAGCGGCAGACGGGUGAGUAACGCGUGGGAACAUACCUUUUGGUUCGGAACAACACAGGGAAACUUGUGCUAAUACCGGAUAAGCCCUUACGGGGAAAGAUUAUCGCCGAAGAUUGGCCCGCGUCUGAUUAGCUAGUUGGUGAGGUAACGGCUCACCAAGGCGACGAUCAGUAGCNGGUCUGAGAGGAUGAUCAGCCACAUUGGGACUGAGACACGGCCCAAACUCCUACGGGAGGCAGCAGUGGGGAAUAUUGGACAAUGGGCGCAAGCCUGAUCCAGCCAUGCCGCGUGAGUGAUGAAGG
rnacentral:rRNA from 1 species